rnacentral:tRNA from 96 species
ACUUAAAAUCCGUCGA